AGGAGUUUGAAUCAUGGCUCAGGAUGAACGCUGGCGGCGUGCUAAUACAUGCAAGUCGAGCGAACGGACGAGAAGCUUGCUUCUCUGAUGUUAGCGGCGGACGGGUGAGUAACACGUGGAUAACCUACCUAUAAGACUGGGAUAACUUCGGGAAACCGGAGCUAAUACCGGAUAAUAUUUUGAACCGCAUGRUUCAAAAGUGAAAGACGGUCUUGCUGUCACUUAUAGAUGGAUCCGCGCUGCAUUAGCUAGUUGGUAAGGUAACGGCUUACCAAGGCAACGAUGCAUAGCCGACCUGAGAGGGUGAUCGGCCACACUGGAACUGAGACACGGUCCAGACUCCUACGGGAGGCAGCAGUAGGGAAUCUUCCGCAAUGGGCGAAASCCUGACGGAGCAACGCCGCGUGAGUGAUGAAGGUCUUCGGAUCGUAAAACUCUGUUAUUAGGGAAGAACAUAUGUGUAAGUAACUGUGCACAUCUUGACGGUACCUAAUCAGAAAGCCACGGCUAACUACGUGCCAGCAGCCGCGGUAAUACGUAGGUGGCAAGCGUUAUCCGGAAUUAUUGGGCGUAAAGCGCGCGUAGGCGGUUUUUUAAGUCUGAUGUGAAAGCCCACGGCUCAACCGUGGAGGGUCAUUGGAAACUGGAAAACUUGAGUGCAGAAGAGGAAAGUGGAAUUCCAUGUGUAGCGGUGAAAUGCGCAGAGAUAUGGAGGAACACCAGUGGCGAAGGCGACUUUCUGGUCUGUAACUGACGCUGAUGUGCGAAAGCGUGGGGAUCAAACAGGAUUAGAUACCCUGGUAGUCCACGCCGUAAACGAUGAGUGCUAAGUGUUAGGGGGUUUCCGCCCCUUAGUGCUGCAGCUAACGCAUUAAGCACUCCGCCUGGGGAG
rnacentral:rRNA from 1 species